UACAGGGGGCUCGAGCGUUAGUCGGAAUCACUGGGCUUAAAGGGUGCGUAGGCGGCUCGCCAAGUGCUUUGUGAAAUCCCCGGGCUCAACCUGGGAACUGCAUUUGUGACUGCAUCGCUGGAGUGCGGCAGAGGGGGAUGGAAUUCCGCGUGUAGCAGUGAAAUGCGUAGAUAUGCGGAGGAACACCGAUGGCGAAGGCAAUCCCCUGGGCCUGCACUGACGCUCAUGCACGAAAGCGUGGGGAGCAAACAGG
rnacentral:rRNA from 1 species